CAAUAAGAGACAGUCAAUCAUAACUGGCCUACUCCCUACUCCUUUAAUAUUGGCACAUGGAGCAUUUCACUUCAUGCAGUGGCAGAUUUUUCCUGAGUGAAAUAUUGCCCCCUUGUCCCCCUCCCCAAACAGGCAUCGCAGCAGGCCGUUGCUGAGGUAAAGGAUUCUUCUUCUGCCUCAGUCGUGACGUGCCAGUCUCGCUCAGCGUCACUAGUCUCAGAGGCAGACUCCAAAGACAUGUUUGCAUCACAACAAGCAAAGCAUCCUGCCGAGGAGAUCAUCACGGCAAUCCCAGGUUAGGCUCGGUGCCAUUGUUCAUACCUCUGUUCACACUGAUGUGUUUUCUGUGGCCUCAUGUACAAAACAAAUUAAAUUACAUCCAAAAAUGAAAAUUAUUUCUUUUAUUCCUCAUCUGAAUCUAAAUCUGCAUUUGGAGACCAGUUAGUUGUCGACAGCUUUGAUUCAUCACUUUAAUGCUUUUCUGUCCAUCCCUCUGCCCUCCUUCCACAACAGCAUUACACAGCCAGCUGCCUCCUCAGCCAUCCAGACCUAGUGGCAAAGCUGCUCCGCUACCACGUAAAACCUGGACUGCCCCUUUACCACUCAACCUACCUCCAGACCAGGCCACCAACCCUAUAUGUAACACUUCGGCCUCCUCCCCCUGUAAUGACAACACAGCCACCUCACCCAAAUGUUCCCACGUGUCGAUCCCCCCACACCCACGCACUUCACUUCUUUCAGACCCGUCAUUCCCCCGUAGUCCCCUGCUCGAUCCUCUUGACCCGCAGGUCUCUCAGGUUGGCCCCCCAUCGCCUGCUGCUGCAGAGAAGCCUCCAUAUAAGUCUGAGCAGGAAGGUGUCCCUCCUCUUCUGUCACCACUGACCUCACCUCCUGCAGCCAUGCCUGUCACAGGAUGUCAGCCUACCUCCAGCACUCAGUUUGAGGUCAUUUAUAUUUCUGCUCAACUUGUAUUCAUAUGGAGAAAAGCUCUUUUGUGUAGUUUAAUUCAUUUUGUUCGAGUAAGUUGUUAA
rnacentral:lncRNA from 1 species